AGUUUUGCGCAGCGGCGGUGCCAUUGCCAAUGGGGUUAAUCUAAGGCGUGAUUAUUGACAGUUGAAAACUAUGAACUAUUAUCUAUUUUCGAUUGAUUGCCAUGCAAU
rnacentral:snRNA from 1 species